UGGGCCUGAGGAGAGCUGGAUCCUGAAGUGCAAGGGCAGGUGAUAUGCUCCCAUAGAUGCUGCACAGCAGUGCUCCAGCAUGGUGUGUAAGGAAAGCAGCAGUGCCUGGGCAGCACUAGCUUCCUGAGAUGGUGGCAGUAGGAGAUGUGGAGGCUCAGCCCUUAGUCUGGCAGCAUGUGAGCUUGCAAGAACUUCCCAGGCUCCAGGGUAGGGUGGGGAACCUGCUAAGUAAACUUUGCAAAUGGCUUCAGGUGCAGCUGAAUGAAAUUUAAUGAGGAAAAAGCUCAGGUGCUCUUGGGCUAUAUAAUGUAAAGCUGAGAGCUCUGUAUAGCUUGUUAGUAGUAGGCUUCCCACUGCUCUUGGAGGUCUGAUGUGUUGUUGACAUUUGCAUGUUGGGAUUUCUGAAUUCUGUCUACAGCUCUACUGUUUUGGUCCUGCAGGUCCAGAGGAAAGAGGCCAGAGCUAGGAUGGACUUCUGAAGCAGCCAUGAACUUGCCUGCACUCAGUGUCGCUGAAUGAGAGUGCGUGGGGUGUCGCAGCUGUGGAUGCCUCACAGUGAAGCUUUGGCAAGUCCCUAGAAGGCUAAGUGUGUGUGGCAGCAGGUGCUAAAGCUGCGGCCAGGGGAGAGACUCUUGUGUUCAUACAGACCUGAUCAGUAGUUGUGCUACAUCUCUGGGGUCUUGGAAUCAUCCAAGGCAAUCAGGAGGACAACGAUGUGUGCUGGGUGAUGGCAACCUGUGCUGUUAAUAGCACCUGAAUGAGGUCCUUACAUCAACUUGAUGACAUUUCUCUCAUUGGAUGGAGUUUGAGAAUAUUUGAAUACUGGAUCUGAGCAUUUUCCCUAUCUUUCAGGUUUUGGUGAGCAAAAACAUAGAGUUUGUUGCCAGUCAAAAAACUGGCAGGGGAGGGUGGAUCCCAGAGCUGUUAAAAGGGUGAAGGAGUUUGUAAUUCCUUAUGCCUGUCCUGACGCUCUUAAAAACUACCUAACCACCAAACAGGCAGUAAGGCAGUGAUGCUGCAGGGGGAAGCCCACAGUAUUUGGGUAGUGGAGGCUAGGGAGCGAUGUGUGGGGGUGUCAGGCAGCUGGAGACCCUGACAAACAGGCUAGAGGAGGUGUGGGAGUAGGGACAGCCUCUGAGGCUGCUUCUGCCCUCGUAAGCCCAGGCAGAGAUGGCCCCUUCCCAACCCCAUAAUCCUACUGGCCUGUGCUGAGAGGAGUCCCCGCCAGGCACACCCAUCGCUGUAACCAGAAUGGAGAGAAGAGCCCAUAUUGACACAGGAGCAUCUGUGUCAGUAAUUGUCACACAGCCUGGAAAAUUGCUUCAAUGUGCCAUCCCCUCCAGCCGCACAGCUCAGUGGCAGCAGCAGGCCUGGGGGAAGCUGUGCUGCUGCCAGAGAGAUGGGAAGAGCCCUGGACUUGGUAGAAAGGGUCAGAAGCCCACAGGGAUGUGCUGGGUCCUAGCCCAGGUCCCUGGGUCCCUUGACGAAGUCUCACCUGAUGGCCACUUGGCAGCUGCUCUGGCUGCAUUGCUCUGUUUUACUCAGUUCCAUCAUCCUCAGUGCAAUAUUCCUGAUUUAGAUCACAGUGAGAGAGAGGGGCAAAAUUCCUGUAAUCCUUCAAGAUGCCAUUUACACCAGACAAAGGAGGCUUGAGAGAAGAUCAUGCUGUCCCUCCCUCCCAACCCUUAAUUGGCUGCUGGGAAUAGGGGAUGCUCACCAGUUUAUUCUAGAUGAGUGCCUAGCUUUUCUCUCUUCUAUGCAUGCAGGUGCUUUCAGAGCCUAGAUAAAGCUAGAACAGAAACAAAAGAUGAGGUUUCAAAAAAGGAUUAUGUACCCAGUUUGAGGCUAUGUGAACCACAGCUUUUGAGUGUCACAGAUUGGAACCAUUCAGUGCCCUUUGAAGUCACCAGGUUGACCAGAGGUGACUGUUUUCAUUUCCCUAUGUUGUUUUCCAACAAUCUCUUCUGUAUUUCCCAUGUUUUUAAUGGCAGUGUGGUUUCAGUGCUGAUUAUGAAAUAUGUCUCCAUGGAUCCAGGCAUAUAGCUUAAAAAAGACUCCAGACCUAAUCAUGUAGUUCUGAGAUAAAUCAAGACUUUCAGAAUUUGGCUUAGCAUAAGAAACUCUUUAAAAGAUGCAGUUAUUUGUAAAAGGUCAUGGUUAAAACAAGUUUGCUGAUCUGUUGCUGCUGGAUACACACCCUUCCACCUAGAGAGGUCCAGCCCCUCUUGUACCUUAGCUGCUUUGUUGAUAAGAGAACCUGCCAACAAUAUAAGCACCAAAACCAACAAGAAAACACCCUGAAGCCCAGGCAUAGUAAUUCAAUUUAAUAUAAUGACUAUACUAGCACUCCUUUAGUGGCUAUGGAUUUUGCCUAUGUAUUGGAAAAAGUCUGAGAUGAAGAGCACAUAGUUUUUUCCAGAGGAUAAGGUCUCAUUGGUCUGAGUUCUUCACAAGACAUGGUAUUAUGUGGGACUCUAAAGUCUCCUGGACUUUCCCAAUACUGUCUAAUUUGGGGUGCAAUUAGUCUUGUGAUAGGGGCAGUGGGUAUGGCCAUCCACUGUGGAGCUUCCAGAGGGGUCAGAAGUAGAGGGCCUAAUGCCUUACUCUCCCCUUUGGGUCAGCAUUGGUCCAGUGCUUUGGUUUGCUGCAAGUGGGUCUCCAGCCCUUGCAUGAUCAGCAUGGUGAUUUUUGUGUGCCUGUGUCUUUCUGCUGCUCCCAGUGAAAUAUCACCUCCCAGAUGCCAAAUGGAUGCAAGUGAAGGAAUCCAUGGAUUUCAACUCAAUUGACUGCUGAGACCAAUAUACUUAAUUUCCCUCCAGGCCUCUCAAGGAACCAUGUGAUAUCCUGUUAAUGGGAUGAUUGGGUCCCACAUUAGAGGUGGCUGCAAUAGAGAGGCAGAUGACUUCUUAAAUACAGGAAAUUCCAGGUAUUUGCAAGCAUCUAUACAAGCAAAUCAACUGUAAGAUAUCCCUGUUACACUCUUGGAGGAUGACUGGUUCUGAAAGACCUGUGCUAUGAAAAACAAACAGAUAUCACGUGUACAAGGGGUGGCAUCCCUGUGAGUGGUACGCAAUGUUUCAGAUGAACCACACUGAAAGCUGCCCUUUAGCCACAUUCCUAGCGGGACAGAAAUGCCACAGGAGCAGUCAAUGGAAAAACCAAGUGUCAUGGCUAAAACAUUGAUUCAGAAGACCUGAAUCAAAGGAGGAACAUCAUGGUUUGAGAUAGACCUUCUGUGUUUGAUAUUACUGGACAAUAUUAUGCAAAGGGGAUGAAGCUAAGAGGAUUAGAUGCUAAUACACUGCUAGGAAAUAUAAGCAGCUGCUUUCAUAGAAUAUAUUUGUGGCCCUUACAUUGCAGCUAUGGCCAGGGUGAGGGUAGCUGGGGAGUUCAUAAACUUGUCCAGUGUGUGAGUAUCCAAUACACAGCAGAUACAUGUUUUUUGAAGCCUAGUAAUGGGCUUCUGUUAUAAGAAAGAGGUGUUUCUGCAAAUGCUUCAGAGACCAAAGACUUUCAAACAGAGUGCCUCUGCUCUUGACAUCUGAUUUCUGCCACUUCCUUUCCUGCUAGAGAAAACACAGACUUCUAUGUGACCAACCCACAGAGUCCUGGUAAUUGUUGGGAGGCUUCAAUUAAAAUAACAUCUAUUGUUUAUGCAAUAACAUCCAUUCAGAUACAAGCCCAUAUGGAGGCAUGUCUGCCCUGCAAAAUAGCCCAAGCAGAGAGUUCUGCAAGCUCCUGUGUCUAGGCACAUUCCUCCAGGGCUACGCAUGAACAAAUAAGCCAUGCCUCUUGAAUCCAGCCAACUCUGAACUCUCCUGCAUGUUGCCAUGCUUCAGAGCUCAGCUCUGACUGUACCUGCCAGCACAGGCACACCCAGAGAGAGACAGUGCCUGCUGUCAAGUGUUGAUGCUGAGUGGAGAGACUUGGCCAGGGACACAGAGGAAAGGAGUGGAAGAGUAAGGGCUUCAACCUGGAUCCCAACCAAGUACACUCUCCACUUGUGAUUGAGUGUUUGAACAACAAGAAGCUUAUUUUUCCCUCGGGAAAGCUCUGUAGCUGCAGACUUGCCAUGGUCUUUCUGGCCCAUUGGAAGAGGAUGUUCUGCCAGGGAGCCAGCCUGACUCCUUUAGUUCUGCAUGAGGCAGGGAAAGAAAGUUCCCCUCAGCCCCUGAGUGGAUUACUUACACUCUGUGUUUUGGUUUUGAAUUGCUUCUAUACCAGCUGCCAUUCUUACCAUCAAGAGGCUGCUUCUUUCUUUUCUGUUCCCUUUUAAUGCUUAAAUCCCAAGAGCUGGGUUCUUCUCUAGGCUAUGCCACUCAGAGCGAAAAUUACCUGCAAGGAAAACCUACCAGAAUACAUCAGAGUGAUGAAAAUCAGGAUCUUUAAGCCAGAGGAGAUUAAUUUACUGUUUACAGCUUGGUUAACAUGGCUUAAGGAAACCCACUGGAUCCCCAAGCUUCAUCCUUUAUAAUUUGUAUAGAGUCCAGUAUGUCCAUUACCAACUGUCACCAGGUAAAUGCUGGCUGCUUGUCCCCUUUCCCACACAUCACUGUGCAAGUACAACAAGAAAUCUUAAAGUUAUGUACAGCACAGACUUUACCACUGUUCAUCUUCUCAGAUGUUUUUUUUUUCUGGAUGCACAAGGCAAUGCUGUUACAGUAUUGGGAGAGAUGUGACCUGUUGUGUCUUGUGAUGGGGAAGGGCUGUGGUGCUGAAAAAUACAAGUGUUUUUUAGAUAUUCAUGGAGCAUAGAUCCCUCUGCAUGCCUUUUGCCCUGCCAGAGAGCUGUGGCUUCCUUGUUUUCACCAUUUGCAAAUCCAUGAGUAGCCCUGGAGCUCCACAGCUUAGAUUCUAGUCUGACCAGCUGCAUGAGAGCCAAGUGGGGGGGAUAAAUGAGGGUGCAAAAUUCAGGCACAGCUGUUGUGAAACAUAAGAAAGGAGUCAACUGCAGGGAUAGCCAGCUCAGUGGGUGAGAUGCUGUAAGCCAGUGGUGCCUUUGCAAAGUGAGGUUGCACAUUUGAAUUAAACCAAGGGCAAUUACUGAUCACUGGGUAAAAAUUGAACAGGUUUGGCUUCCUUAGGGUGGCUGCAGGAGCAACCUCAAUGGGAAAGCUGGUGUGGCCAUGGCCAGGGAAAGGGCUGACCACCUUCUCUUCCCCCCACCCAUCUCACCCCCUCAGUCUGCCAGCGAUACUUGCCAGAGAAGGCUUUGCAUCCUCCCACUGCCUGUGUGUCCAUAGCUGGAGAACCAGGGGGUGACAGUUCUACACUGCCACUCCCCAUGGGGCUUUAGGAAACCUGCAUGAGUGUGUGAGGCACAUGUGUCCCAGGGAGAGCUGUUGUGUACAUACUUCUCCAUUCACAGUGGCUUAGCUCAAGUGUCCCCCUCCCUCUCCAAGGCAUCCCUGACACUCUAGGUGAAUAUUUGAAAGACGGGAUCGGGCUUUGGUUCGAGAGCCUCUUUGUACAGUGUUAACUGGUUUCAGGGCUGUAAUUAUCUCUCCAAGAGAAGCUGUAAAUUGGAUUAAGGCACUGAGUUGCAGCUGAGUGAGCUCCCUCCAUUGCCCCACCUGGUGGGCUGCUGAGCGAUAACAAAAAAUGCCGAGAAAUCGGAUUUGGAUUCUGCUUCACACUCAUGGCUUCCUUCUGGAAAAAAUGAAAUUUUUCCGGCAGAAAGGGCUGGCAUGGGUUUGCUGGCAGUAUCAGUCUUGGGCUCGUAUCAUCUGCUGGCACUCUUCCGGAAACACGAUCCCUUCCGUUAUCAGAGAGAAAUAAAUAAAUAAACAGCAAGAGAUGUUUUGGCAAGGAAGGAGGAAUUGCACCAAGAGGCGUGCACAUACGCCUGCACACACACUCACCUCGGCACCGUGUCUUCAGCCUGAGCUGGCUGUCACAAGCAGAGGAGAGCAAGGGAGGUGGCAGCAAAGGCACAGGGAGUUGGGUUUUUCUGUUUUUUAAUUCUUGUUGUCCUCUGGGCUGAAAGAAAAGCCCAUUUUUAGCAGCUUAUGUUGAAGGCAUAGAGUGCCUGGGCUUUGUAUUGCUCUUGAAGCAUGUCACUGUCCCCCCCAUGAAAGGACCCCUGUAGUAUCUCUCACCAUUCCCUUGAAUAAGGCACUGUUGCUUCCCCAUGGGUGCUUUCAGUUCAAUGUAACAGGGUUCAAAACUUAUACUGAGAGGUAAUACAAGUUACCUGGCUGAUUUCAGCAUCUUGACCAGGGCAGACUAACAUUAGGCUUGUGGAACUUGAUCCUCCCGUUUUGACAUGAGAGGCUUCAUAUCUGGGCUCCUUUUUUGUAUCCAGAGGUGUGUAUUUCCCUUUGGAUGUGUUGCACUGCUGGUAUCUUUGGGGCAGGAGUCCAUAGGAAGCCCAGCAGGGAUGGACAGGACUGAUCAAAGCCCUGGAACAAAACCAUGAGGCUACACGCUGAACUUGUGGGACCCAUGCAGGAUAACACAGCUGAUCACUUUAUUUCCAGGCAGAAUUUGGAUGCUCCAAAUGAUGGAGCACUUCUGUCCACAGAAGAACCAGAUUACCCUGGGUUUGGAGGCUGUCUAAAACACUACUUUCUCUUCACAAGUAGGGAUUUCAGGACCAGCUUUUCUGGAGAGGCAAAUCAAUAAUUUAUCCAUAAUCUUUUAUAUUCUGGCUCUUACAGCCAUAAAAUAGGGCUUGUGUUUGCCUGCAGUUUUUUUGCAUUCUGCUAUCUGCAGGGUUUCCACUCACUGCCUGGCAGCUCAAAACAACAGGGCAGUAGCUUCCCACCCCUCCUGGCCAUGAGGGACACUGGGAAAGGUGUCCUCUGGUGUCUGGGGCAGUGAUGCCUGUCAUUCACUGCAUCUCAGGAGCAAGGCAGCUGCCUCUGCCCACCAGCUGCCCCUGCCAGCUAGCAAGGAAGCACCCCUGGCAGGGACUGCAAGCGCUGCCCCGGGCUGCUGAGUGAGGAGGGGUGCCUCCAAAGGGACACACACUCCGAAACACCUGAAGGGGAGUGACCAGCCUGGAGAAGCGAGCCUCCCAUCAGCUGGCACCUUGCGUGCACUGUGGGGCCAGUAAUUCCCCAUACAUCUCCAGUGUGUCAGACAAACCGUUCAAAUGCUGUGGACAUGUUAUCCAAACUGCCUCCUAACAUAGCUUCUUCCCCCUAUAUCCCCACAUCUCCAGGUCUUGGUUAAUUCCCUGUAUUUCCUCUUGUCCUGCUGUCUGAGUGCAGCUGCUGCACCAUAUCCACUGGCCUGAUGCAGCCCUGGGAGGGCUGAAGGAUGCUCUGCCAAACAAAGCCACACUGGACCUACACAGGGGAGGGCUUGUGCAGCCUCACUGCACAUCAGAAGUUGGUUCUUGCCUUACACUGCUUUUCUUUGGUCCCAAUCUCGUGCUACAAUGCAGCACCACAGCACGACACCUAGAACAGCCUGUCGGUCUCUCUUCUCUCCCUUGCUUUUCUCAAAGUACCUAGAAACCCUUUGCUGAGUUCUUAGAAAGUGAAAGAAUUGUUCAUGGACUCAACACUUGCAAUGGAGUUCAGCUCAAAUGUGUGCCCUGAAAACAGAAAGGCCACUUCCCUCAUCAGGACCCAGUUUCUCUGCCCAGGAUGUAUAUAGCCAUGCUUUCAAAAUGUCCCAGCGACUCCCAUGUACCUUACAAAUUCUCCAUGAAACACAGUGGGGUAGCGAGCAAUUUCCUAUUGCAAAUUCUGCCUUCCUUUGGGUGCCAUCUAACACUCAUCUUUAUGUUUCUGUCAGCUUAACUUAUUAUUUGGUAUUCAAUCUGGCAAUAAAAUUUUUAU